rnacentral:rRNA from 1 species
UGGGGAAUAUUGGACAAUGGGCGCAAGCCUGAUCCAGCCAUGCCGCGUGAGUGACGAAGGCCUUAGGGUUGUAAAGCUCUUUUGGCAGGGACGAUAAUGACGGUACCUGCAGAAUAAGCCCCGGCUAACUUCGUGCCAGCAGCCGCGGUAAUACGAAGGGGGCUAGCGUUGUUCGGAAUCACUGGGCGUAAAGCGCUCGUAGGCGGAUUGGUCAGUUAGGGGUGAAAUCCCGGGGCUCAACCUCGGAACUGCCUCUAAUACUGCCAAUCUCGAGUCCGGGAGAGGUGAGUGGAAUUCCUAGUGUAGAGGUGAAAUUCGUAGAUAUUAGGAAGAACACCAGUGGCGAAGGCGGCUCACUGGACCGGUACUGACGCUGAGGAGCGAAAGCGUGGGGAGCAAACAGGAUUAGAUACCCCCGUAGUCC